rnacentral:lncRNA from 1 species
UGAGAAAGCUAAUUCCUAACUCUAUGAAAGACCAUAGCUUUGUCUAUUUCAACUGUAGCUCUAAAGAAAACUUUAGUGUAGAUGGGAGCAGAAGGUGUUCAACUGCUGACAAAACAUACCUGCGUAAGGGCUGGACCAAAAUUUCCUGGGACACCAUCAAAGCAAAUCAUAAGGAAGUUAAUCUGCCUAUUUUUUUUUACUGAGAAGCAAUAUCCAUUCAAAACCAACUGGAAGUCAAGAAUGGAUACAGUGUUCUGAUGUAGUGAGGUGGAAAUGAGAUCACAAAAAAAAAAAAAAAAAAAAAAAAAUAACACAGCCAAUAACUUUUAUAUGGACUUAGAGGUGAAAAACACCAUUCUCAGUAACGCAUGGGUUCUAGAGAUA